rnacentral:rRNA from 1 species
UAUAGUUAAGAUCUUUAAAUCUAAAGAAUUGGGCGGUAUCUUAAUCUAUUCAGAGGAACCUACCCCGUUAUUGAUAGUACACGAUUAACUUUACUUAAUUUAUUUGUUUGUAUAUCUCCGUUAUCAGAAAAUCUUUUUAGAGUUAUAAUUUUCUUAAUUUAUAAUUAUAAAAUAUUUCAGGUCAAGGUGCAGCUUAUGAUUAAGAGGAGGUGGGUUACAAUAGAUUUUUUUUAUAUGAAUUUGAUAAUGAAACAUUGUUAAUGAAGGUGGAUUUGAUGGUAAAUUAAUUUAUUUAAUUUAAUUGAUAUUAGCUCUGAGGUGUGUACACAU